GACGUAGGGCGCGAGCGUUGUCCGGAUUUAUUGGGCGUAAAGAGCUCGUAGGCGGCUUGUCGCGUCGGCUGUGAAAUCCCGCGGCUCAACCGCGGGUCUGCAGUCGAUACGGGCAGGCUAGAGUUCGGUAGGGGAGACUGGAAUUCCUGGUGUAGCGGUGAAAUGCGCAGAUAUCAGGAGGAACACCGGUGGCGAAGGCGGGUCUCUGGGCCGAUACUGACGCUGAGGAGCGAAAGCGUGGGGAGCGAACCGG
rnacentral:rRNA from 1 species